rnacentral:tRNA from 2 species
AAGAGGCGUAUAUAAACCAUUAGAGCUGCUAACUCAAAUAGCUAAGAUUAAACCCUUAGACCUCUUAC